GCUUUAAUUUUAGCUUUAUAUCCAGAUAUUGACAAGUACGAGGAAGAGGAACUUGCUUUUGGUGAGGAGGAGAAGACUCGCAACAAAAAGAUUCAAGAAUCCAUUGCUGAAACAUACCGAAGACAGUCAGAAGCACUUGUGAAAACGCUCCACUGCAAAAGCAAUAGCUACAUCA